GACGAACGCUGGCGGCGUGCCUAAUACAUGCAAGUAGAACGCUGAAGGAGGAGCUUGCUUCUCUGGAUGAGUUGCGAACGGGUGAGUAACGCGUAGGUAACCUGCCUGGUAGCGGGGGAUAACUAUUGGAAACGAUAGCUAAUACCGCAUAAUAGUAGAUGUUGCAUGACAUUUACUUAAAAGGUGCAAUUGCAUCACUACCAGAUGGACCUGCGUUGUAUUAGCUAGUUGGUGGGGUAACGGCUCACCAAGGCGACGAUACAUAGCCGACCUGAGAGGGUGAUCGGCCACACUGGGACGGAGACACGGCCCAGACUCCUACGGGAGGCAGCAGUAGGGAAUCUUCGGCAAUGGACGAAAGUCUGACCGAGCAACGCCGCGUGAGUGAAGAAGGUUUUCGGAUCGUAAAGCUCUGUUGUAAGAGAAGAACGAGUGUGAGAGUGGAAAGUUCACACUGUGACGGUAUCUUACCAGAAAGGGACGGCUAACUACGUG
rnacentral:rRNA from 1 species